rnacentral:rRNA from 1 species
GAGUUUGAUCCUGGCUCAGGAUGAACGCUGGCGGCGUGCCUAAUACAUACAAGUCGAGCGAGAAUCAAUCGAUCUGCGAUUCGUCAAAGAGAGAUUGAGGAAAGCGGCGGACGGGUGAGUAACGCGUAGGCAACCUGCCCUUAGCAGAGGGAUAGCCAUUGGAAACGAUGAUUAAAACCUCAUAAUGCUGUUUUAACACAUGUUGAGACAGCCAAAGAUUUAUCGGCUAAGGAUGGGCCUGCGUCUGAUUAACUAGUUGGUGAGGUAACGGCCCACCAAGGUGACGAUCAGUAGCCGACCUGAGAGGGUGAUCGGCCACAUUGGAACUGAGACACGGUCCAAACUUCUACGGAAGGCAGCAGUAAGGAAUCUUGCACAAUGGGGGAAACCCUGAUGCAGCAACGCCGCGUGAACGAUGAAGGCCUUAGGGUUGUAAAGUUCUGAUCUGGGGGAAGAAGGAAGUGACGGUACCCCAGGAGAAAGCCCCGGCUAAAUACGUGCCAGCAGCCGCGGUAAUACGUAUGGGGCAAGCGUUAUCCGGAAUUAUUGGGCGUAAAGAGUGCGUAGGUGGUUACCUAAGCGCAAGGUUUAAUCUUGAGGCUCAACCUCAUUCUGCCUUGCGAACUGGGCUACUUGAGUGCAGGAGGGGAAAGCGGAAUUCCCAGUGUAGCGGUGAAAUGCGUAGAUAUUGGGAAGAACACCGGUGGCGAAGGCGGCUUUCUGGACUGUAACUGACACUGAGGCACGAAAGCGUGGGGAGCAAACAGGAUUAGAUACCCUGGUAGUCCACGCCGUAAACGAUGAGCACUAGUUGUUGGGUACGAAUGUAUUCAGUGACGCAGUUAACGCAAUAAGUGCUCCGCCUGGGGAGUACGGUGGCAACACUAAAACUCAAAGGAAUUGACGGGGACCCGCACAAGCAGCGGAGCAUGUGGUUUAAUUCGAAGCAACGCGAAAAACCUUACCAGGGCUUGACAUCCCUCUGACCGGAUCUUAACCGAUCCUUUCUUCGGACAGAGGAGACAGGUGGUGCAUGGUUGUCGUCAGCUCGUGUCGUGAGAUGUUGGGUUAAGUCCCGCAACGAGCGCAACCCCUAUCCCCAGUAGCCAGCGGCCCGGCCGGGCACUCUGAGGAGACUGCCAGGGAUAACCUGGAGGAAGGUGGGGACGACGUCAAAUCAUCAUGCCCCUUAUGAUCUGGGCUACACACGUGCUACAAUGGCAGUUACAAAGUGAGGCGAACCCGCGAGGGGGAGCAAACCACAAAAAGGCUGUCCCAGUUCGGACUGUAGUCUGCAACCCGACUACACGAAGCUGGAAUCGCUAGUAAUCGUAAAUCAGCAUGUUACGGUGAAUACGUUCCCGGGUCUUGUACACACCGCCCGUCACACCAUGGGAGUUGGUAACGCCCGAAGUCAGUGACCCCACCGAAAGGAGGGAGCUGCCGAAGGUGGGACCAGUAACUGGGGUGAAGUCGUAACAAGGUAGCCGUAUCGGAAGGUGCGGCUGGAUCACCUCCUU